UACGAAGGGUGCAAACGUUGCUCGGAAUCAUUGGGCGUAAAGCGCACGUAGGCGGCUUUGCAAGUCGGAUGUGAAAUCCCUCGGCUCAACCAAGGAAGUGCAUCCGAAACUGCAGAGCUUGAGUACUUAAGAGGAUCGCGGAAUUCCCGGUGUAGAGGUGAAAUUCGUAGAUAUUAGGAAGAACACCAGUGGCGAAGGCGGCUCACUGGUCCGGUACUGACGCUGAGGUGCGAAAGCGUGGGGAGCAAACAGG
rnacentral:rRNA from 1 species